rnacentral:rRNA from 1 species
AAAUGAAUAGACGGGGGCCCGCACAAGCGGAGGAGCAUGUGGUUUAAUUCGAUGAUACGCGAGGAACCUUACCUAGACUUGAACGUAUGUGGAAUGAAGUGGAAACAUUUCAGUCAGCAAUGACCAUUUACGAGGUGCUGCAUGGUUGUCGUCAGCUCGUGCCGUGAGGUGUUAGGUUAAGUCCUGCAACGAGCGCAACCCUUACUGUUAGUUACCAGCAUGUCAUGAUGGGGACUCUAACGGAACUGCCGGCGCAAGCCGCGAGGAAGGUGGGGAUGACGUCAAAUCAGCACGGCCCUUACGUCUAGGGCGACACACGUGCUACAAUGGACGGUACAGAGGGCAGCUACACUGCGAAGUGAUGCUAAUCUCGAAAACCGUUCUCAGUUCGGAUUGGAGUCUGCAACCCGACUCCAUGAAGUUGGAUUCGCUAGUAAUCGCGCAUCAGCCAUGGCGCGGUGAAUACGUUCCCGGGCCUUGUACACACCGCCCGU